CUGAGUUGAUGCUUUUAACUAAAUGAAAUUGGCUUCAUUUGUUUUCUGUACUGGAUUUGCAUAUAUUGGUGAAUAUGAAGCACAUUUUUGGAGCAAUUUUGCUGUUACUAGUCUGUCGGUGGUGACAUGCACAUAGGACAUCCGAAAUCAGCUCAGCCAUCACAACUGCUAAUUUCAGACUUUAUUAUUAGAAUCAUGAACAAUGAGACUUUUUGAAAUUGCGGUUCCACAAUUAGUCGACUCGUCUCGACGUCGUCAACAAACAAACAGGUCAACUAUUAAUUUAAUAGUCGACAUGUUUUUUUCUCUAUAAACAUUUUUGUAAUCUCGCCAUCUGAGGCAAAUUCAGCAGUUGCCUCCUGCCUCUCUGCUCAACGCACAUGCGCAGUAGUGGCCAGCCAGGUCAGCCUUAGUCACCGGAGAAAGAAGACACGGCGAUUCGCCAACGCAGCUCAUAAGUUUGGGAGCGUUAUACAAAGACUAAAGAAAGGCGUAGAGUGCAAACUCUGCAAAGCGAAACUUUCCUUUCACGGGAGCACAUCAGCGAUGCACAAGCACCUUCAAAAGAAGCACGUCAUGGCGGAGAGUCAAGAGUCGCCUCGGUAAGUUUACCUCUUGUUGGCUGCUAACAUCAACAUUCAUAGGUGUAGCAACACCAGUAGCGGUGGCGAUGUUAUUACCAUUAGAACUCUUUUGUAUUUCACGUAUUUUUGCUCUAACUACAAACGCUAAUGAUUUAUUUCAUCCCGCUACGUUACAGUGUUACUAACAGUGCUCCUCUUCAAUGGACGAGUUUGUUGCGUGCACACUCAGCAAGCUAACGACCUGACCGAGGCUGUGGUGAGCAUGUUGGUCCCGACACUUCUGUCCAUGGUCGGUAUCAAAGUUUCAAAGAGAUGAUCAAGCAGCUCAACCCAGGUUACCAUGGCAACUACCUACCAGGCUGAUCCCAGUUCACCACCAUGAUGGAAACAAAAUAUGAAACAACCUUUAAGCAGAGCCUCAGAGCUGUCGAUGGUCGCUGACUGCUGACGUGUGGACCAGCCGUGCUACAGAGGCGUACCUCGGUGUGUCCUGCUAUUUCCUGAGUUUAGAUUGGAAGAUGAAGCGCUUCAACCGUGCCACCAUGCCUCUUGUGAACAUCAGUCAAUUUUGUGUACGGUUUAUUUUUGGUUUUAGUUGCCUUCCUCCAUUUGAUUGUAGCAGUUGUAUUAACAGGUUACAAAGUUAAUUAAAAGUGUUUUGAUAAGCUUUCGUCUUGUCUUUAUUAUUUGAUGGAACACAGCUGGACCCAGGGGCGACCAGCCCCACCGGGCACCCAACAGAGCCCAGAGACCAAUAUUUCCUACUCCAUAUACGUGGAGGACACCCACUCUGACAGAUUUAGAUGCUACGCUGGUGCUGCAGUUAAAAAAACAAAACUGCAUUCCACUAUAAUAGAUGAUGGCGUACACUUCUACGAUGCAGAAUCGUCUCAUGUCCGCAUCUUGAUGCAUUGAUUAUUUUCCUCAGUUCAACUCCGCACAAGUGGCGAAAACAUGCACACUCAUUACAAGCUCGCUCUGGUUUUGGUUUUAUACGAGCCACAGAUCUAAGUUAUGUGUUUUAUUUAUGAAAACUUUGUAGAAUCUAGUCGCAUUAAUGAGCGCCAACGGAGCCAAGCUCUGGUGUCACUUUGAGAGUUAACAUGAUGAGUAGUUCCAGUCUAAGGGGGACGGCAGGCGGAACCAGGACUCAACUGGGGAAAUUUCUGGUGGGCCAGUCUGGUCGGUGUUUUUAUUCGUCAUUUUCUUUUUUUCUCAACACCCACACUUUAAAGAUUCUUGCUACGCCCAUGCGUAGAUCCAAUGAUAAAUCGAGAACUUCCCCCCGGCUCAGAUCUCUCUUCACCUCGACAGACCAUUGCAUAGCCUGCAUUACUGCAGACACAGCACAAAUCUGCCUGUUGAUCCUGCACUCCUCCUUUCCCUCACUUGUGAACAAGAUAGGAGAUAUUUGCGUAACAUUACCGUAAUGUGUUGUAUACCACUGGAAAGCGUAGAGUCUCAGCUUUCAGAAUCCGUUGAAAUUACGUUGAUUGCUUAAACGAUUGAAGACUUAUGUUAGUUCAAAGUAUGGAAGCCAUCAUUCCGCAUUCCUGAGAAGUCCCUACACCACCCGUACCAGCUCAAACUCACGCCAUCCAGCCCGACCAAACCCCGACCGUGCUGACGCUAACGUGUAAGUGCGAACCUCUACAUACCAGGAACCCGUAGAUCAGCUCCGAUACGACCCGUCUGGUCUGAGAUACCUCCAGGUGACAGCCGGAAGCUGGAAUGCUUGUUUUGCAUCUGAGGCUGUUUGGCAAGGCCGGAUUAUAAUAUGGGCAAACUGGGCACAGGCCCAGGGGCCCACAGCCAAAAGGGGGCCCACGCGAGCAGCAGUCUUUUUUUCUUUCUUUCUUUCUUUCUUUCUUUCUUUCUUUCGCAGCAGUCUUAAUGUUGGAGAAAGAAGUUGACAAGUAAUUAAACUUGCGCCCACAUUUUCAAAGUUAAACACUUUUUUUUAACAACGGUAAUUUCUGUAUCUUGCUUCAGCUCUCUCCCCCUCCCCCUGCACAGCGGCUGCAAACUCACUGAUGCGCCUGCAGCCUCUCAGAGUUCCUGCUGCUCUAAACAUUGAAAGAAUCAUUUAAUUUUCUGUUCCUCACUUCUGAUUACCUUCAGUGGUGUCUGUUUGUUGCAUCCACCAGGUACAAAAACUAACUUGUUUUUAUUUGACUAUUUUUCUGUCCUGCCUGUUUAUUAUCUUCCUGCAUCUCCUCUCAAUCCUAAAGAAAAACUGCUACCUGGCUUCAUAUUUUCACCUCAUGAGUUACCUUUGAACUGCAGUUCUAAAAUAUCUACCGACCGCAAAUAUAGCAGAGUGUGCGCCGCGCGCCGGCCGCACCACUGCAGUCAUCACCGGAGGAUGAAACGGGCGAUGCGCUCGCUCUGCAGUAACGAAACUCAUCAGACACAAAUAAAAGACAGAAGACAUGAAAAGAUAUGAGCUGACAUGAACGAUCGCAUGUAAAAUUUGUUUUUGAGGUGACGACACUUCGAUAACAUUACUGCGGCUGUGCUCAGGACGCAGCUGUCUGGAGCGCGUCAACGAUCAGAGCUCUGUGCCUCUCCGUUCAAAAUAAUCCCCAGAGAGUCCACAUAGAUGAUGUAAUAUAAGCAAUACCAGGAUCGUUUUCAGGCUAAAAAAAAUGUCUACAGUCCAUCUUCCUUAGUGUGUUUGUGGCCCUGCGGAUUUUUCUAACUCUACCAGUUACAAAUUGUGAAGGGGAACGAUCAUUUUCACAAAUGGCAAGAAUAAAAAAUGAACUGAGAACAACACAAAGUCAACAGAGCCUCAGUGCACUGUCACUGAUGGCUGUUGAAUCUCAGCUUGUCAGGAAUCUGGACUUUGAUUACAUUGUAAACGAAUUUACUAAUAGAAAGCAGUUUUUCUGAAGGCAAGAGAGGAGACCAACAAGAGGAGACAACAAGAGGAGGAAGAAGCCAGGAGACGAGACAAGAGGAGGAAGGAGACAAGAGGAGGAAAGAGACAGGAGACAAGAGGAGGAAGGAAACAGGAGACAAGAGGAUGAAGGAGAUAGGAGACAAGAGGAGGAAGGAGACAGGAGACAAGAGGAGGAAGGAGAUAUAUACAUAGAUAUAGAUGGAUAGAUCUCAGAGAAAUCUCAACGCCCACACUUUAAAGAUUCUUGCUACUCCCCUGCGUAGAUCCAGUGGUAAAUCGAGAAAGAGACAAAAGGAGGAAGGAGACAGGAGACAAGAGGAGGAAGGAAAUAGGAGACAAGAGAAGGAAUGAGACAGGAAACAAGAGGAGGAAGGAGACAGAACUCUAUGCACAUUGUGCUCAGGGGCCCCUGCAAUGAUAAUCCGGCCCUGCUGUUUGGUGGCUCCUAAAAGAGCCGCUGUGUCUGAAAUCACUCGCAAGCGUUGCAGAGCAAUGUUUUGACCUCAGGUCAAAAGAUAGGUUGGUCUCAAAUGCUUGCUCACCGGCUUGACCAGACCAGGAGGUAGGUGGAGAACUAACUAGAUCAGGAAGUAAUUCCUAUUUUCAUUAACUUUGCUUAUAAACUUAAACGUGUCAAAUUCUGAUUUGUCUAAGAGGGCCUCCAAAGUCCAAAGAUACCUCAGAAAUCACGCCUUCACUCAGAUGUUCAGAGAGGGUAACUCUUAGUGUGAAGUGCAAAUGUUAUAACAGUCAUGUGAAAUGAAUGUAAAAACCUUAGUAUUAAUCUUAAUAUGUAUGAGUAUCCUGAUGAACUUGUUAACAAAUACUGAUCUGGUGUAGUUUAAGAUCUGAAAAGAAUCACUGCAAGAAAAAUACUCCUUUUAACACAUCAUUGCUUAAUGCACACAUUAUUCAAACACUUUAGGAUUUAACGAGAUGAUUAUAUGACACUUAUGCAAUUAUUACGUUUCAAAAAGUAAUUUAUGACUCAAGGAAGAUGAAAUUUAUUCAGAGUGAAAGUGCAGAAAAGUCUCGCCUUUUGCAUGAGACUUUGAGCAAAAUAAUAUGACUCCCUUGUUAGGUAACAAGGUCUUGUGCAGUGCUUUCCUGUUUCGAGGCCAGACAGAUGCAGCGUAAUUUAAAAAGUAAAUUUCUGGUCGUUUUUAUGUAAACUUGACCUUUGGGUACGCUACAGUAGCAUAAAUAAAGAGUGGCAGAACCAAUAAUUGAGAAUGCAGCGCAGCCUCGGGUCAAAAUACAACACGUGACGUAUUUGCCUCCUCUUGUCAGCCACUAGUGCCAUCGGAUAAGAGAAAUACUCCGGAAAGAGACUAAGUGAAGCAUUAAUGAAGGCUAUUUUUAUACUCCCAUUUUGUGCCUUUACUGUUUGCACUGUAGCUUUUCUCUGUUAUUGCUUAGAAAAAAACAAAAUAAAGUAUAAUAUAAAUAAAAUUUUAUAAUUAACAAUAAGAACAAAACCUUUAUGUAGUUUGUUGUCCUCUCUUAAAAAAAAAAAAUAUAUAUAUAUAUAUAGAUUUCAACAAAAGUAUUGUUAAGGCACCGCAAUCAAAAACCUGGUUAAAGUAAUAGUGUCAAGAAAUAUCUACUGGUCCCCAGCCUUACUGACGCUGUUAUAUUUAAACAUGUGCUUUAUGUUACCUAGCUACCCUUUCUGUGAAAGCUCAAACCGCUCUGUGACUUUUCUCUGUGUGUUUUGGCAAAACAUAAUGAAACAGAAAGAUAAAUAAAUGAACACAAGUUCAAGGAUUUUCUUUUUUGCCAGUAAGCCAAUGAAAUGCGUACAAAAUUACUACAUAUGUGGUUUUGAAAAGGUCUUUAAAAGUCUUUAAUUUUACUUCAUGAAACCUGUAGGGACCCUGUUUACAGUAGUAUGAUAUGGAACCUUUAAUGUAGGACAAGAAUAAAAAAAAUUAAAGCUGCAAGCAGCGUUGUUCGGCCCUCGCGGCUCCACGCCGCUCCGGCCUGGCCGGCAGUCUGGUGCACCCGGGCACGUCCGCUGAACAGAAACAUCAACCACCCUGAGGCCCGAGCAGUGAAAGCGCUGCGAAGGCCUAUUGUAUCUGCUCAGUUUAUUUUUCUUCCGCCAAGUAAAUUGGCUUUUUGGAGGCCUUAACAUAAAACGAAAACAUGUCACACAUGCACACAUGUCAGGCGUGAUUUAAUAUUUUGUAUUUUAAAGGUCCCAAAUAAAUUGCAAUAAAAUUAGCUCCACAACGCCCCCUAGAAAGUGAAAAAUACCCCCCUCCUUAAACCUUAGUUUGUCGUACAGUUAUGAAAUUUUGUACACUUGUAGUACUCAACAGAUCGCACAGAAAAGCCUCUUGCAACCUUGGUCAACAUCAAACAGGAAGUCGACCAUUUUGGUUUGAAGUUGUAAUUUUGACCCCGUUUUGGCCGUUUCUAGGGCCCGCUUCUGAUUGAUUUACUCGAUCAUUUUUCGCACGAUCGUCUCAAAGUUUAUGGUAAAUUGCUCAGAAGGGAUGGGCGAUCAAAUAGAAAAAAUAAAA